rnacentral:rRNA from 1 species
GACGAACCGUGCGAACGUUGUUCGGAAUCACUGGGCUUAAAGGGCGCGUAGGCGGGUCGGCAAGUCAGGGGUGAAAGCCCGCAGCUCAACUGCGGAAGCGCCUUUGAUACUGCCGGUCUCGAGGGAGGUAGGGGAGUGCGGAACUUCCGGUGGAGCGGUGAAAUGCGUAGAUAUCGGAAGGAACACCGGUGGCGAAAGCGGCGCUCUGGACCUCUUCUGACGCUGAGGCGCGAAAGCUAGGGGAGCAAACGGG